rnacentral:rRNA from 1 species
GCGCAGCAGUCGCGAAAACUCUGCAAUACGCGAAAGCGUGACAGGGCUACCCCGAGUGUCGUCCGCUGAGGACGACUUUUCCACGCUAUACGGAGGCGUGGGAAUAAGGAGAGGGCAAGUCUGGUGUCAGCCGCCGCGGUAAUACCAGCUCUCCGAGUGGUAGGGACGUUUAUUGGGCUUCAAGCGUCCGUAGCCGGCUCAACAAGUCUCCCGUUAAAUCCAACGAUUCAAUCGUUGGACCGCGGGAGAUACUGCUGGGCUAGGAAGCGAGAGAGGCCGACGGUAUUCACGGAGUAGCGGUGAAAUCUUAUAAUUCCGGGAGGACCACCAGUGGCGAAGGCUGUCGGCUAGAACGCGCUCGACGGUGAGGGACGAAAGCUGGGGGAGCGAACCGGAUUAGAUACCCGGGUAGUCC